AGAUUGGGAGUGAAAUGGCGCCAUCUGCUGUCGCUGGUGUUGAAUAGCAGUCAUUGGAACUGUGGGUCUGCUCUUUGGCACAGGAUUGCUCGAAACGAGGAUCCCACCCUGAAAGAGCCCUAAACAAGUGAACGCCUUUUUUGCUGCUUGCCGGUGCUGAGAUGCAGGGAAACAGUAUCUGAUGGGGAAACGUAGCACCCAGAACUACCAGUAGAACAUCCGCCUCACCAGGUUGGGAGUCCUCAUGGAGAACGCAGGUCAGUCGGCACAUUGAUCACCCCUCCAUCAGCCCAAUAUGGAAAGAUUCCUGGAUAAGCAGCCUGGUUUCACCCCUGGUUGUGACAGACCCCAGUUAAGAGCUACUGAUGUUCCACAAAGUAGAAAACUUGUAAGACCUCACAGGAUUUAUGAGGGAUGAUUGUGAUCCCUGACCCUAGUCCUUCAAAGUGUGUCUUAAAUUUUAUGUUCCAAGGAUAUUAUUGGUGAUUAUUUACUAACUCAUUUUUACAACUGUUUAGGUUGAAAGUCAUACCAUAAAAACAAAACGUUAAGAUCCUAACCUGGGGAGAAUAUAAUACAGAAUAUGUCAUACACAAAAUGGACAACUUAAGGCUUUUAUCAGGAAAAAACAUGAAAAGUACACAAUAAAAUUCAUUUGAAUUUUUUUAUUAAUCCGUUUUAUAAUCAAGUAAAUAUAUCUUCCACCGCAUAAAACAAAAAUUAGACAAUACUUCAUUUCAUUCAGUUUGACACUUCGAGAUCAUUCCUUCAAACAUUAACUUCAUAUACUUAUAUGUAACUUCAUAUCCAAAAGAGUUAAAAUUUCAUAUCCUGUGAUAGUAGCAAAAAUAAUUGAUUU